AAAAGCCCAAGCUCUCUCCUCUACACCAGUGGUUCUGUGCAGCCCCGGCAGUCAAAAAUCCUGAGAUCAAGAGCGAGGCCGCCUAAGAGGAUUGCCUUGUGCCUGUCUGCAGUUUCACCCCAGGCUGUUCUUUAAUGUCUGCGUUAACCACAUCUGGUUUAUCAGAAUGCUGUGGGCCUACGAGUCCAUGCCUGUGACUCUGUCCCCUAGAUCCUACGGGCAGUCCCUAGUGUCUACAAGAGAAAUCAAAAAGCAAGGCGUCUGGCUCCAGGAAAGGCAUCCAAGCCCCCUAGCCAUCCAGACCUGUCCAGAAGGAACUCAUGUCGGUGUUUAAUCAUGCUUUUUGGCAAAGCGCUAUUCCUCACAUCUAAUUUAGACCUCUCCCACCGAUUUCUUCAUCCUCGGUCUUCAGUGAGAAGACAGGACACUUGGUUACCUCCUUCCAAAUAUUCCAGACUGUUACUGAGUUAUCUUCUCCCCUCCAGUCUUCUCUUCCCUAGGAUAAAUAAUCCCAACUGAUUCAACGUUUCUGUGGAGCUCUUCAGAGAAAAAUCCUCUAUAAUUAUAUUAAGUAAGAAGAGUAAUAAUUCCCAUAAUUGUGUCUUUCAACCCACCCCCUGGCCAGGACAUUUUGUUUCCCAAACUAAUGCUGCUCAUGUCACAGAUACUGCAGCUGCAGAAAGGAGAAGCAAGGAUGGAAGUGAACAUCCCCAAAUGGGCUCCACACAGAUGUGCCCAACCCGGUGUUUCAGGAAAGCAGGAAGAGGCAGAGAGAAACGGAGGAUCGGUUGGUACCAUCUGCAAAUUCAGUGGACUUCAGAGAUAAUCUCCAGUGUCAGAUCCAUUUCAAGCAAGGGAAAGAAGGUUUUCGUGGUUGUGCUGGAAGUUCCUGAACCCCCUGCCCCGCCCCGCUUCACAGAUCCUUUCGAGACACAGCAAACGUCUAGAGAGUGGCCUUCUCCCACGUGUCCAUCCUGAAAGUGGGCCCGCCAUAUACCAACUUCUUCACUGUGAAGAUUAGUUUGUCUUGAGAUAAGGGUUCUUCAAACUACAACCUGAGGACCCAGACUGACCUGCUACCUGGUUUUGUGUAGCCCUGAACUAAAACUGGCUUUUAUAAUUUGGUUGAAAUAAAUUAAAAGAACAAUACUAUUCCAUGACACGUGGGGAUCACAUGCAAUUGGAAUUUUAGUGUUCACAAAUAAAGUUUUA